AGUAACGGCGAGGGAAGCGGGAAGAGCUCAAAUUUAAAAUAUGGCGUGCCUUUGGUCGUCCGAGUUGGAGUCUGGAGAAGCGUCUUCCGUGUUGGACCGUGGACAAGUCUCCUGGAAUGGAGCGUCAUAGAGGGUGAGAAUCCCGUCUUUGACACGGACUGCCAGGGCUUUUGUGAUGUGCUCUCAAA
rnacentral:rRNA from 1 species